rnacentral:rRNA from 1 species
GGGUAACCUGCCUGUAAGACUGGGAUAACUCCGGGAAACCGGGGCUAAUACCGGAUGCUUGUUUGAACCGCAUGGUUCAAACAUAAAAGGUGGCUUCGGCUACCACUUACAGAUGGACCCGCGGCGCAUUAGCUAGUUGGUGAGGUAAUGGCUCACCAAGGCGACGAUGCGUAGCCGACCUGAGAGGGUGAUCGGCCACACUGGGACUGAGACACGGCCCAGACUCCUACGGGAGGCAGCAGUAGGGAAUCUUCCGCAAUGGACGAAAGUCUGACGGAGCAACGCCGCGUGAGUGAUGAAGGUUUUCGGAUCGUAAAGCUCUGUUGUUAGGGAAGAACAAGUACCGUUCGAAUAGGGCGGUACCUUGACGGUACCUAACCAGAAAGCCACGGCUAACUACGUGCCAGCAGCCGCGGUAAUACGUAGGUGGCAAGCGUUGUCCGGAAUUAUUGGGCGUAAAGGGCUCGCAGGCGGUUUCUUAAGUCUGAUGUGAAAGCCCCCGGCUCAACCGGGGAGGGUCAUUGGAAACUGGGGAACUUGAGUGCAGAAGAGGAGAGUGGAAUUCCACGUGUAGCGGUGAAAUGCGUAGAGAUGUGGAGGAACACCAGUGGCGAAGGCGACUCUCUGGUCUGUAACUGACGCUGAGGAGCGAAAGCGUGGGGAGCGAACAGGAUUAGAUACCCUGGUAGUCCACGCCGUAAACGAUGAGUGCUAAGUGUUAGGGGGUUUCCGCCCCUUAGUGCUGCAGCUAACGCAUUAAGCACUCCGCCUGGGGAGUACGGUCGCAAGACUGAAACUCAAAGGAAUUGACGGGGGCCCGCACAAGCGGUGGA